rnacentral:rRNA from 1 species
CACUAUGCUUAGCCCUAAACAUAAAUAGUACAUUACACCCACUAUUCGCCUGGGAACUACGAGCGCUAGCUUAAAACCCAAAGGACUUGGCGGUGCUUUAGAUCCACCUAGAGGAGCCUGUUCUAGAACCGAUAACCCCCGUUCAACCUCACCCUUCCUUGUUCCUUCCCGCCUAUAUACCGCCGUCGCCAGCUUACCCUAUGAAGGUCACACAGUAAGCAGAAUUGGCACAGCCCAGAACGUCAGGUCGACGUGUAGCGUAUGGAAGGGGAAGAAAUGGGCUACAUUCCCUACUACAGUGAAUACGAAAGGUGCACUGAAACGUGCGCCAUGAAGGAGGAUUUAGCAGUAAGCAGGAAAUAGAGUGUCCUGCUGAAACCGGCCCUGAAGCGCGCACACACCGCCCGUCAUUCUCCCCAAGCUUGAAAUAUUACUUUAACUAAAACCACAAGUACUGCUAAGGGGAGGCAAGUCGUAA